rnacentral:rRNA from 1 species
CGACCGGCGCACGGGUGAGUAACACGUAUGGAACCUGCCCGCAGCAGGGGGAUAAGCGGAAGAAAUUCCGUCUAAUACCGCGUAACACCGCAGAGGGGCAUCCCUCGGCGGUUAAAGAUUCAUCGGCUGCGGAUGGCCAUGCGGCGCAUUAGCUAGUUGGCGGGGUAACGGCCCACCAAGGCGACGAUGCGUAGGGGUUCUGAGAGGAAGGUCCCCCACACUGGUACUGAGACACGGACCAGACUCCUACGGAAGGCAGCAG